rnacentral:lncRNA from 1 species
UGAAAGAAAAAAAAAAUUUGUUUUAAUUUUUUUUUUUUAUCUAAAUGGUCAGAGAUGUUCGCUUAAAUGGGUCAGUAUCUUGCCCUGUGGCAGGAGAUCAGGUUGGAUCGAAUCACGUUCGAAAUGACAGAAGAUCGGGUUGAGCCAAGUCGUGUUCAAAACGGCGUGAGACUGAUUGGACUGAAUUACAAUCAAUACCUAUGGACACUGUGUCUAUAUACUUUAUAAGUAAAUUAGUUGCGUAUUUCUAAUAGCUCGAGUUUUUUGAAUUAAUAGUUAGUUAGCGGCAAUGAUCUCUCAAGAAAAC